rnacentral:rRNA from 1 species
CCUUGACAUACUAAGAACUUUCCAGAGAUGGAUUGGUGCCUUCGGGAACUUAGAUACAGGUGCUGCAUGGCUGUCGUCAGCUCGUGUCGUGAGAUGUUGGGUUAAGUCCCGCAACGAGCGCAACCCUUUUCCUUAUUUGCCAGCGGGUCAUGCCGGGAACUUUAAGGAUACUGCCAGUGACAAACUGGAGGAAGGCGGGGACGACGUCAAGUCAUCAUGGUCCUUACGGCCAGGGCUACACACGUGCUACAAUGGUCGGUACAAAGGGUUGCUACCUCGCGAGAGGAUGCUAAUCUCAAAAAGCCGAUCGUAGUCCGGAUCGCAGUCUGCAACUCGACUGCGUGAAGUCGGAAUCGCUAGUAAUCGCGGAUCAGAAUGCCGCGGUGAAUACGUUCCCGGGCCUUGUACACACCGCCCGUCACACCAUGGGAGUUUGUUGCACCAGAAGUAGGUAGUCUAACCGCAAGGAGGACGCUUACCACGGUGUGGCCGAUGACUGGGGUGAAGUCGUAACAAGGUAAGCGUAGAUGA